UAACCCGCCAAGGGGAGGGAAGCCGCUAGAAGGUUGUGGUUGGUGAUUGGGGUG
rnacentral:rRNA from 1 species